AUUGAACGCUGGCGGCAUGCCUUACACAUGCAAGUCGAACGGCAGCACGGGUGCUUGCACCUGGUGGCGAGUGGCGAACGGGUGAGUAAUACAUCGGAACAUGUCCUGUAGUGGGGGAUAGCCCGGCGAAAGCCGGAUUAAUACCGCAUACGAUCCACGGAUGAAAGCGGGGGACCUUCGGGCCUCGCGCUAUAGGGUUGGCCGGUGGCUGAUUAGCUAGUUGGUGGGGUAAAGGCCUACCAAGGCGACGAUCAGUAGCUGGUCUGAGAGGACGACCAGCCACACUGGGACUGAGACACGGCCCAGACUCCUACGGGAGGCAGCAGUGGGGAAUUUUGGACAAUGGGCGAAAGCCUGAUCCAGCAAUGCCGCGUGUGUGAAGAAGGCCUUCGGGUUGUAAAGCACUUUUGUCCGGAAAGAAAUCCUUGACUCUAAUACAGUCGGGGGAUGACGUUACCGGAAGAAUAAGCACCGGCUAACUACGUG
rnacentral:rRNA from 1 species